GACCAGCCACCGGUUGGGCAGAAGCCGCCGGCGUCGGCCUGGGAUUGGACCACGUCACGGGGCCAGCGCGCUGCACUCUUUCCUCCCCAGCGCCGGCCCCGGAGCGACCGCGGGACAUUUUCCGGCGCUGGAUGCUUUGCUGCCGGGGUUCGGGAGUAACCUGCGCUUGGAGCAGGUCGGCCGCACUGCAGUCCCGCACUCAGGGCUCUUCUUCCGGUCACCUGGAGAGCCCGGCCGAGGAAUGGAAUGACAGACAUCCUGUCCGCAGCCCCGCGGAGGAGGCGCUGGCCUGCCGCUCCAUAGAAAUGUGCGCAGUCGCCCGGGCGCGGUGGCUCACGCCUGUAAUCCCAGCAUUUUGGGAGGCCGAGGCGGGCGAAUCACUUGAGGUCAGGAGUUCGAGACCAGCCUGGCCAACAUGGUGAAACCCCGUCUCUACCAAAACUACAAAAAUUAGCCGGGCGUGGUGUUGGGCGCCUUUAAUCCCAGCUACUCAGGAGGCUGAGGCAGGAGAAUUGCUUGAAUCCGGGAGGCGGAGGUUGCAGUGAGCCCAGACUGCGCCACUGCACUCCAGCCUGGGCGACAACCACAAGACUCCUAAUCAAAAAACAAAAAGAAAAAGAAAUGUGCGCAGUCCUUGGAGAGUGCAUUUUCCUUAAGUGUGGAUGGAAAUAAGUCAUCUGUUUUCUCUCCUACUAAGUUGAUGCCUGGCCACCCUUCACAGAAAGGCCCGCUUGAAGGCCCUGGCUGUCAGGGCCAGGGCUGUGUCAAGCCUGAACUUGUUUAAGGAGCUCUUAGCUCUUCCUUUCUCUACAUUUUUCGUGAUGCUUAGGUGGAGAGUGGUCCGGUGUCUAUGCUUAGAAGGAAAAAUUAUUGGCAGUCCCAGAGAGAGUCUAUUCUUCCUUUUAAGAAUAGUUAUGUAUUCAGGCAGUAGACAAAUUGGUAGAAAUAGAAAUUCACUUAAAAUUUUAACAGAAUUUAAUUACACAAAUAAUACACAAAUGUAAUCUUUAAAAAAUUCAUUCUACAUAAAGGUAAAUUUCCGCCUUCUCCCCUCUCCCCUCUCCCCUUCUUCGGUCUCCCUCUCCUUCUUUUUUCGGUCUCCCUCUGUUGCCAAAGCUGGACUGUACUGCCGUGAUCUCGGCUCGCUGCAACCUCCCUGCCUCGGGCUCCUGUGAUUCUCCUGCCUCGGCCUGCUGAGUGCCUGGGAUUGCAGGCGUGCGCCGCCACGCCUGACUGGUCUUUGUAUUUUUGGUGGAGACGGGGUUUCGCCGUGUUGACCGGGCUGGUAUCCAGCUCCUGGCCUCGAGGGAUCUGCCCGCCUCGGCCUCCCGAGGUGCUGGGAUUGCAGACGGAGUCUCGCUCACUCAAUGCUCAAUGUUGCUCAGGCUGGAGUGCAGUGGCGUGAUCUCGGCUCGCUACAGCCUCCACCUCCCAGCCGCCUGCCUUGGCCUCCUAAAGUGCUAAGAUUACAGCCUCUGCCCCGCCGCCACCACGUCUAGGAAGUGAGGAGAGCCUCUGCCUGGCUGCCAUCCUGUAUAGGAAGUGAGGAGCGUCUCUGCCCCGCCGCCCAUCGUCUGGGAUGUGAGGAGCGCCUCUGUCCAGUUGUCCCGUCUAGGAGGUGAGGAGCACCUCUGCCCGGCCGCCACCCCGUGUGGGAGGAAGUGAGGAGCGCCUCUACCUGGCCGCCCCAUCUGGAAAGUGAGGAGCGCCUCUGCCCGGCCGCCCCGUCUGGGAGGUGAGGAGCGCCUCUGCCCGGCCGCCCCGUCUGGGAGGUGAGGAGCGCCUCUGCCCGGCCGCCCCGUCUGGGAGGUGAGGAGCGCCUCUGCCCGGCCGCCCCGUCUGGGAGAUGAGGAGCGCCUCUGCCCGGCCACCCAACGUCUGGGAGGUGAGGAGCACCUCUGCCCGGCCGCCCUGUCUGGGAGGUGAGGAGCGCCUCUGCCCGGCCGCCUCCCCGUCUGGGAGGAAGUGAGGAGCACCUCUGCCCGGCCGCCCCGUCUGGGAAGUGAGGAGCGCCUCUGCCUGGCCGCCCCCCGUCUGGGAUGUGAGGAGCGCCUCUGCCCUGUCUGGGAGGUGUACCCAACAGCUCCGAAGAGACAGCGACCAUCGGGAGCGGGCCAUGAGGACGAUGGUGGUUAUGUUGAAAAGAAAGGGGGGAAGUGUGGGGAAAGGAAGGAGAGAUCAGAUUGUUGCUGUGUCUGUGUAGAAAGAGGUGGGCAUAGGAGACUCCAUUUUGUUCUGACUAGGAGAAAUUCUUCUGUCUUGGGAUGCUGUUGAUCUAUGGCCUUUCCCCCAGCCCCGUGCUCUCUGAAACAUGUGCUGUGUCAACUCAGGGUUAAAUGGAUUAAGGGCGGUGCAAGAUGUGCUUUGUUAAACAGAUGCUUGAAGGCAGCAUGCUCUUUAAGAGUCAUCACCACUCCCUAAUCUCAAGUACCCAGGGACACAAACACUGCAGAAGGCCGCAGGGUCCUCUGCCUAGGAAAACCAGAGACCUUUGUUCAUGUGUUUAUCUCCCGACCUUCUCUCCACUAUUAUCCUAUGACCCUGCCAUAUCCCCCUCUCCGAGAAACACCCAAGAAUGAUCAAUAAAUACUUAAUUAAAAAAAAAGGUAAAUUUCCUUGACGCCAACCCAAACCCCCACUCUCUCGUGGAGGUAUCUGCUAUUGUCAGUGUGGUGUAUAAGCUUCCAGGUAUUUCCCCCUUUUACACAUAUAUAUAUCCUAGAAACAUGUAGCUUUUAUCUUUUCAUAAUAUACAUUUUUUUAUUUUUUGUAACCAACACCUUGUUUGCCUUUUAUCUUUUUUAAAACCAUAAAAUGUUACACAAUUACAUUGUUUGCAAUUUUUUUUAAACUAAUAAAUUGGAGCAUUUUUUAAACUAAUAAACUAAUAAAAUGGAGCAUUUUGCAUGUAA